AUUGAACGCUGGCGGCAGGCCUAACACAUGCAAGUCGAACGAGUGGCGGACGGGUGAGUAAUGUCUGGGAAACUGCCCGAUGGAGGGGGAUAACUACUGGAAACGUUAGCUAAUACCGCAUACCAUCGGAUGUGCCCAGAUGGGAUUAGCUAGUAGGUGGGGUAACGGCUGACCUAGGCGACGAUCCCUAGCUGGUCUGAGAGGAUGACCAGCCACACUGGAACUGAGACACGGCCCAGACUCCUACGGGAGGCAGCAGUGGGGAAUCUUGCACAAUGGGCGCAAGCCUGAUGCAGCCAUGCCGCGUGAGUGAAGAAGGACUUCGGGUUGUAAAGGACUGUUAUCAGGGAAGCGGUACCUGAAGAAUAAGCAACGGCUAACUACGUGCCAGCAGCCGCGGUAAUAC
rnacentral:rRNA from 1 species